rnacentral:sRNA from 1 species
UUGUGACAGGCGUAGGGGUGUUUUUUUAUCACCAGAACGCGAAUGUUGGGCGCCAAUAUCAAUACGAAGCAUUUGGGCAUUGUACAGAUUAACUGUGGAAGAAAUGGGAGGGCGACCCCACUGAAGUCUUCAAAUUGUUGGUUACAUGUAGACUAUGGUAGACUAUAGUAGAUGCGCGAUGGGGCUUUUUUUAGGCUUUCAUCGUCCCAGGGGCCCUCCCUACAGAACUCCAGAGUUAAAAUGAUAAAGCCAUGCCCAUCCGCAGCAACUUGAUACAACCACUCUGCCAAAAAUAAUAACGUAACAGACAGGAACAAAGCGAAAGGAGAAUACAGGGAUUUGAGGCUAGAUGGGAGGAGAAAAGAGAGAGAGAGAGAGAGAGAGAGAGAGAGAGUGUGUGUGUGUGUGUAUGUGUAUGUGAAGAACAAAACAGACAAGAAACAACAUGACACCAGAAAAUAAAUCCAGAUUAAACCAACUCCGUCGCUCCUCUCUUUUCAGUUAGUUACCCCUGAGAAUCCACCCUUGAAAGCACAAUGGAACCCAAGGCCCCAAAUUUUCAGCCUUGUAAGCAAAUGGUCGAGUUAAUCAUCAUUAUCAACCUCCCGGAACCUUGCUUGUAGGGG